rnacentral:rRNA from 1 species
UACGUAGGCAGCGAGCGUUGUUCGGAGUUACUGGGCGUAAAGCGCACGUAGGCGGCUUUGUAAGUUAGAGGUGAAAGCCCGGAGCUCAACUCCGGAACUGCCUUUAAGACUGCAUCGCUUGAAUCAUGGAGAGGUUAGUGGAAUUCCGAGUGUAGAGGUGAAAUUCGUAGAUAUUCGGAAGAACACCAGUGGCGAAGGCGACUAACUGGACAUGUAUUGACGCUGAGGUGCGAAAGCGUGGGAAGCAAACAGG